UGGGGAAUAUUGCACAAUGGGCGAAAGCCUGAUGCAGCAACGCCGCGUGAGGGAUGACGGCCUUCGGGUUGUAAACCUCUUUUAGUAGGGAAGAAGCGAAAGUGACGGUACCUGCAGAAAAAGCACCGGCUAACUACGUGCCAGCAGCCGCGGUAAUACGUAGGGUGCAAGCGUUGUCCGGAAUUAUUGGGCGUAAAGAGCUCGUAGGCGGUUUGUCGCGUCUGCUGUGAAAUCCCGAGGCUCAACCUCGGGGCUGCAGUGGGUACGGGCAGACUAGAGUGUGGUAGGGGAGAUUGGAAUUCCUGGUGUAGCGGUGGAAUGCGCAGAUAUCAGGAGGAACACCGAUGGCGAAGGCAGAUCUCUGGGCCAUUACUGACGCUGAGGAGCGAAAGCAUGGGGAGCGAACA
rnacentral:rRNA from 1 species